GACGGGGGGUGCAAGAGUUGUUAGGAAUUACUGGGCGUAAAGAGCGUGUAGGCGGUCUGAUCAGUCGAGUGUGAAAGCCCGAGGCUCAACUUCGGAAGUGCACUCGAAACUGCCAGGCUUGAGUACGGGAGAGGGAAGUGGAAUUCCUGGUGUAGAGGUGAAAUUCGUAGAUAUCAGGAGGAACACCGGUGGCGAAGGCGGCUUCCUGGACCGAUACUGACGCUGAGACGCGAAAGCGUGGGGAGCAAACAGG
rnacentral:rRNA from 1 species